rnacentral:rRNA from 1 species
GAGUUUGAUCCUGGCUCAGGAUGAACGCUAGCGGCAGGCUUAACACAUGCAAGUCGAGGGGUAACAUUGGUGCUUGCAUCAGAUGACGACCGGCGCACGGGUGAGUAACGCGUAUACAAUUUACCUUAUACAGAGGGAUAGCCUUUAGAAAUGAAGAUUAAUACCUCAUGGUAUUGAGGUGUGGCAUCACACUUUAAUUAAAGAUUUAUCGGUAUAAGAUGAGUAUGCGUCCUAUUAGCUAGAUGGUAGAGUAAUGGUUUACCAUGGCAACGAUAGGUAGGGGUCCUGAGAGGGAGACCCCCCACACUGGUACUGAGACACGGACCAGACUCCUACGGGAGGCAGCAGUGAGGAAUAUUGGACAAUGGAGGCAACUCUGAUCCAGCCAUGCCGCGUGCAGGAAGACUGCCCUAUGGGUUGUAAACUGCUUUUAUAGAGGAAGAAACCCUCCCACGUGUGGGAGGCUGACGGUACUCUACGAAUAAGCACCGGCUAACUCCGUGCCAGCAGCCGCGGUAAUACGGAGGGUGCAAGCGUUAUCCGGAAUCAUUGGGUUUAAAGGGUCCGUAGGCGGGCAAAUAAGUCAGAGGUGAAAUCCCACAGCUCAACUGUAGAACUGCCAUUGAUACUGUCUUUCUUGAGUAUAGUUGAGGUAGGCGGAAUGUGUAGUGUAGCGGUGAAAUGCAUAGAUAUUACACAGAACACCGAUUGCGAAGGCAGCUUACUAAACUAUUACUGACGCUCAUGCACGAAAGCGUGGGGAGCGAACAGGAUUAGAUACCCUGGUAGUCCACGCCGUAAACGAUGAUUACUCGUUGUCUGCGAUACACUGUAGGCGACUGAGCGAAAGCAUUAAGUAAUCCACCUGGGGAGUACGUUCGCAAGAAUGAAACUCAAAGGAAUUGACGGGGGCCCGCACAAGCGGAGGAACAUGUGGUUUAAUUCGAUGAUACGCGAGGAACCUUACCCGGGUUUAAAUGCAGAGUGACAGGCCCUGAAAGGGGUUUUUCUUCGGACACUUUGCAAGGUGCUGCAUGGUUGUCGUCAGCUCGUGCCGUGAGGUGUCGGGUUAAGUCCCAUAACGAGCGCAACCCCUACCCUUAGUUGCCAUCAGGUAAAGCUGGGGACUCUAAGGGAACUGCCUACGCAAGUAGAGAGGAAGGUGGGGAUGACGUCAAAUCAGCACGGCCCUUACGUCCAGGGCUACACACGUGCUGCAAUGGCCGGUACAGAGGGCAGCCACCCCGCGAGGGGAAGCGAAUCUCGAAAGCCGGUCUCAGUUCGGAUCGAAGUCUGCAACCCGACUUCGUGAAGCUGGAAUCGCUAGUAAUCGCGUAUCAGCAAUGACGCGGUGAAUACGUUCCCGGGCCUUGUACACACCGCCCGUCAAGCCAUGGAAGCUGGGGGUACCUGAAGUCGGUAACCGAAAGGAGCUGCCUAGGGUAAAACUAGUGACUGGGGCUAAGUCGUAACAAGGUAGCC